UACGAAGGGGGCUAGCGUUGCUCGGAAUCACUGGGCGUAAAGCGCACGUAGGCGGAUUGCUAAGUCAGGGGUGAAAUCCUGGAGCUUAACUCCAGAACUGCCCUUGAUACUGGCGGUCUCGAGUCCGGGAGAGGUGAGUGGAACUGCGAGUGGUAGAGGUGAAAUUCGUAGAUAUUGGGAAGAACACCGGUGGCGAAGGCGGCGUCUGGACCGAGACGUG
rnacentral:rRNA from 1 species